rnacentral:lncRNA from 1 species
AUGGGUCGCCGCAUGUAGCUGGUUUUAUGAUCCAGUUCCAUCUCCGGUGCAUCGUCAUUUUCUCUACCUGUGAGGGUGUUUGGAGGACGGAGGUGAAACUGGUGUACACAUCCAUGUGACGGAGUGAACAAGCUGCCUGCAUAUAGGAAGCCAUCUGACCGCUCCUGAGGCAGUUGGCUCGUCUGUGCCCACCUAGGCCAUCUCUGAUCUAUAGCUACGUCCUUCGACACGUUCGUUACAACUACCCGCUGCAGAUGGAUAUAUGAGAGGCACCCUUAAUCGAUUUACUGCACCGGAAACAACCGUCGAACUACCUAACCGAUCCAGUAACAGCUGCGAUUUCACGAGGAGCGUAGUAUUGGCCGUUCGGAUCGAGUACCUGAAAGUUUGACGACCGGAAUAAGAAGAGGAUUAGGUGCUGCACAGGGACGCCUGUGUUACGUUCAUUUAUCACGGGAUAUGUGAAUUUGUACGUACAUGGAUGGAUGGAUACGUAUACACUAAGCGUGUACAACAAUUAACAACGAAGAGAUUUUACAUGACUAUGCCCAUUGAAUCGAGGUGACAAAGGAGUCGGAAUAUCGUCAUUAUCAUAUUUGAAACUCACCGCUGAGACCGGUCGCCUUGUCGUUUGAUGACGUCGCGUCGAACACGGCCGCGUAUUCUUCGAGGCCCAGGGACCGUUUAAAGUGUUCGUCGAUCGCCGGGUCGCAGACAACGCCGCUGCUCCUGACCCCGGUUCGCUGGGUCCCCGUUGCAGCGGAUGCAGUGGCCGUGCAGGCCGCUACCGCCGUGUCCUCGACGGUCGUUCCUAAUUUCAAUCGUAAACAAUUUAACAACAGGGUGACAACAGUUGUUGAAACAGAUUCGAUCUGGACCAAUGAGAUCUCUAACCCUGCUGGUAAUAAUAAUGAAGCAAGUAGAAUUGGCGUUACUUUGCACGAAACUCAAAGGCGAAUUGAAUCGUAAGAAGAAUUUCGCUAAUCUCGAGCAUUGGAGAUAUGGGAAACCGUGCGGUAACGACUUGAGAGAUAGGGGGGAAAAAUGAGAGAAGUAAGGAAAGAAAAAAUCGAGGAAAGUGGGCCAAAAUCGAUCCCACACAUCGGAAUAGAGAUUGUAAGUAUAUACGUAGUCGCUGAGAGCGGUUGAAAGGUGUAUAUGUAUACAUAAUAACGUAAAUCGGUUAUCGGAAUGUUUGAGAUAACAAUUUUGUUUGUUUUUGAAUUAGAGGCGAAUGUUCUUAAUGCGCGUACGAGCGAAAGCUUGAUUCUUUCGUCGUGUCGUUUUGACAAAUAUAAAUAAUUAAACGAACUUGACCAGUUGGACAUACAAGGACGUUAUACAAACCGAAAGUCUGCACAUUUGGGAAACACGACGUAUACAGUAUACAAUAUGUGCAUAACACGAUGCGUGUAUCGUUCGUGUGUGCGUCGCGUAGGAAUUUAGCGAUAGUAUGAGGCAGCACUGGGAUGUGUAAAUAAAAUGAAGCUGUGUGGAACGCAGGUACGUAGAAUUUACGAUAAAUAAUACAUGAUUCGAGGAAUUUUAACGUUUGUUGCAACAAAUAGCGAAGGAACGAACGAGUUACAAAGUUCGUAAGCUGUCUGGCAUCCCCAAUAACAAAUCGAUAGUGGAAUGCGGGACAGAGUAAAAAAAAAGCAGACCUUGCAUUCCUGAGGAGCUAAAUGGAAAUGUUUUACGAAGAGAGAAGACUUACCUGUUCGAUACACCUUAAUCGCAGUUCCCGUGCACCUCACACUUGGCAAUAGUGACAACCGUCUGAUGUGUCGUGAAAACUUGCCCCCGGAGACUUGCUUGUAUUAUUUUUUCAUUGAGAAUUAUUAAAAUCGAAUGGUAUGCGGACAGACACACACAGCACAAGCUGUUUGACACGAGAAGUAAGUCGGGGACCCCACCACUUGUACGCAACUGGAAUGCAUGGUAUUCGUUCGAGGAGCCGA